rnacentral:rRNA from 1 species
UACGAAGGGGGCUAGCGUUGUUCGGAAUUACUGGGCGUAAAGCGCGCGCAGGCGGUUCGAUAAGUUGGGGGUGAAAUCCCCGGGCUCAACCCGGGAAUGGCCUUCAAGACUGUCGAUCUUGAGGACGAGAGAGGUGAGUGGAAUUCCCAGUGUAGAGGUGAAAUUCGUAGAUAUUGGGAAGAACACCGGCGGCGAAGGCGGCUCACUGGCUCGUUUCUGACGCUGAGGCGCGAAAGCGUGGGGAGCAAACAGG